AGUGAAUAGAUACCCAGGUAGUCCACGCCGUAAACGAUGAUAACUAGCUGUCGGGGCCCAUAGGGUUUCGGUGGCGCAGCUAAACGCAUUAAGUUAUCCGCCUGGGGAGUACGGCCGCAAGGUUAAAACUCAAAGAAAUUGACGGGGGCCUGCACAAGCGGUGGAGCAUGUGGUUUAAAUUCGAAGCAACGCGCAGAACCUUACCAGCGUUUGACAUCCUCAUCGCGGGAUCCAGAGAUGGAUCCCUUCAGUUCGGCUGGAUGAGUGACAGGUGCUGCAUGGCUGUCGUCAGCUCGUGUCGUGAGAUGUUGGGUUAAGUCCCGCAACGAGCGCAACCCUCGUCCUUAGUUGCCAUCAUUUAGUUGGGCACUCUAAGGAAACCGCCGGUGAUAAGCCGGAGGAAGGUGGGGAUGACGUCAAGUCCUCAUGGCCCUUACGCGCUGGGCUACACACGUGCUACAAUGGCGGUGACAGUGGGCAGCAAACCCGCGAGGGUGAGCUAAUCUCCAAAAGCCGUCUCAGUUCGGA
rnacentral:rRNA from 1 species